rnacentral:misc_RNA from 1 species
GAUGAAGAACGGAGCGAAAUGCGAUAAGUAAUGUGAAUUGCAGAAUUCAGUGAAUCAUCGAAUCUUUGAACGCACCUUGCGCUCUUUGGUAUUCCGAAGAGCAUGCCUGUUUGAGUGUCAUGAAACUCUCAACUCCCAACUUGCUUAAUAGUCGGUUGGGAGCUUGGACUUGAGCGUUGCUGGUCUUCAUUGACCGGCUCGCUUGAAAUGAAUUAGCAGAUCCUUUUUGUAAUCGGUUCCACUCGACGUGAUAAGUAUUUCGCCGAGGACAUCUUAACGGAUGGCCGAGAUAUAGAAAGUCUUUAGAUCCGCUUCUAAUUCUUAGAUAGAGCUUGCUCUACUAAACCCCUUUUAUGAUCUGGCCUCAAAUCAGGUAGGACUACCCGCUGAACUUAAGCAUAUCAAUAAGCGGAGGA